rnacentral:rRNA from 1 species
GACGAACGCUGGCGGCGUGCCUAAUACAUGCAAGUUGAGCGCUGAAGGUUGGUACUUGUACCAACUGGAUGAGCAGCGAACGGGUGAGUAACGCGUGGGGAAUCUGCCUUUGAGCGGGGGACAACAUUUGGAAACGACUGCUGAUACCGCAUAAAAACUUUAAACACAAGAUUUAAGUUUGAAAGAUGCAAUUGCAUCACUCAAAGAUGAUCCCGCGUUGGAUUAGCUAGGUGGUGAGGUAAAGGCUCACCAAGGGGAAGAUACAUAGCCGGCCUGGGAGGGUGAUCGGCCACAAUGGGACUGAGACACGGCCCAAACUCCUACGGGAGGCAGCAGGAGGGGAUCUUCGGCAAUGGACGAAAGGCUGACCGAGCAACGCCGCGUGAGUGAAGAAGGUUUUCGGAGCGUAAAACUCUGUUGGUAGAGAAGAACGUUGGUGAGGGUGGAAAGCUCAUCAAGUGACGGUAACUACCCAGAAAGGGACGGCUAACUACGUG